rnacentral:rRNA from 1 species
ACGUAGGGUGCAAGCGUUAAUCGGAAUUACUGGGCGUAAAGCGUGCGCAGGCGGUUGUGUAAGACAGAUGUGAAAUCCCCGGGCUCAACCUGGGAACUGCAUUUGUGACUGCACAGCUGGAGUGCGGCAGAGGGGGGUGGAAUUCCACGUGUAGCAGUGAAAUGCGUAGAGAUGUGGAGGAACACCGAUGGCGAAGGCAGCCCCCUGGGCUGAGAUUGACGCUCAGGCACGAAAGCGUGGGAGCAAACAGGA